rnacentral:rRNA from 1 species
GGGACACGUGGUAUCCUGUCUGAAUAUGGGGGGACCAUCCUCCAAGGCUAAAUACUCCUGACUGACCGAUAGUGAACCAGUACCGUGAGGGAAAGGCGAAAAGAACCCCGGCGAGGGGAGUGAAAAAGAACCUGAAACCGUGUACGUACAAGCAGUGGGAGCCUCUUUAUGGGGUGACUGCGUACCUUUUGUAUAAUGGGUCAGCGACUUAUAUUCUGUAGCAAGGUUAACCGAAUAGGGGAGCCGAAGGGAAACCGAGUCUUAACUGGGCGUUAAGUUGCAGGGUAUAGACCCGAAACCCGGUGAUCUAGCCAUGGGCAGGUUGAAGGUUGGGUAACACUAACUGGAGGACCGAACCGACUAAUGUUGAAAAAUUAGCGGAUGACUUGUGGCUGGGGGUGAAAGGCCAAUCAAACCGGGAGAUAGCUGGUUCUCCCCGAAAGCUAUUUAGGUAGCGCCUCGUGAAUUCAUCUCCGGGGGUAGAGCACUGUUUCGGCAAGGGGGUCAUCCCGACUUACCAACCCGAUGCAAACUGCGAAUACCGGAGAAUGUUAUCACGGGAGACACACGGCGGGUGCUAACGUCCGUCGUGAAGAGGGAAACAACCCAGACCGCCAGCUAAGGUCCCAAAGUCAUGGUUAAGUGGGAAACGAUGUGGGAAGGCCCAGACAGCCAGGAUGUUGGCUUAGAAGCAGCCAUCAUUUAAAGAAAGCGUAAUAGCUCACUGGUCGAGUCGGCCUGCGCGGAAGAUGUAACGGGGCUAAACCAUGCACCGAAGCUGCGGCAGCGACACUAUGUGUUGUUGGGUAGGGGAGCGUUCUGUAAGCCUGUGAAGGUGUGCUGUGAGGUAUGCUGGAGGUAUCAGAAGUGCGAAUGCUGACAUAAGUAACGAUAAAGCGGGUGAAAAGCCCGCUCGCCGGAAGACCAAGGGUUCCUGUCCAACGUUAAUCGGGGCAGGGUGAGUCGACCCCUAAGGCGAGGCCGAAAGGCGUAGUCGAUGGGAAACAGGUUAAUAUUCCUGUACUUGGUGUUACUGCGAAGGGGGGACGGAGAAGGCUAUGUUGGCCGGGCGACGGUUGUCCCGGUUUAAGCGUGUAGGCUGGUUUUCCAGGCAAAUCCGGAAAAUCAAGGCUGAGGCGUGAUGACGAGGCACUACGGUGCUGAAGCAACAAAUGCCCUGCUUCCAGGAAAAGCCUCUAAGCAUCAGGUAACAUCAAAUCGUACCCCAAACCGACACAGGUGGUCAGGUAGAGAAUACCAAGGCGCUUGAGAGAACUCGGGUGAAGGAACUAGGCAAAAUGGUGCCGUAACUUCGGGAGAAGGCACGCUGAUAUGUAGGUGAAGUCCCUUGCGGAUGGAGCUGAAAUCAGUCGAAGAUACCAGCUGGCUGCAACUGUUUAUUAAAAACACAGCACUGUGCAAACACGAAAGUGGACGUAUACGGUGUGACGCCUGCCCGGUGCCGGAAGGUUAAUUGAUGGGGUUAGCGGUAACGCGAAGCUCUUGAUCGAAGCCCCGGUAAACGGCGGCCGUAACUAUAACGGUCCUAAGGUAGCGAAAUUCCUUGUCGGGUAAGUUCCGACCUGCACGAAUGGCGUAAUGAUGGCCAGGCUGUCUCCACCCGAGACUCAGUGAAAUUGAACUCGCUGUGAAGAUGCAGUGUACCCGCGGCAAGACGGAAAGACCCCGUGAACCUUUACUAUAGCUUGACACUGAACAUUGAGCCUUGAUGUGUAGGAUAGGUGGGAGGCUUUGAAGUGUGGACGCCAGUCUGCAUGGAGCCGACCUUGAAAUACCACCCUUUAAUGUUUGAUGUUCUAACGUUGGCCCCUAAUCGGGGUUGCGGACAGUGUCUGGUGGGUAGUUUGACUGGGGCGGUCUCCUCCUAAAGAGUAACGGAGGAGCACGAAGGUUGGCUAAUCCUGGUCGGACAUCAGGAGGUUAGUGCAAUGGCAUAAGCCAGCUUGACUGCGAGCGUGACGGCGCGAGCAGGUGCGAAAGCAGGUCAUAGUGAUCCGGUGGUUCUGAAUGGAAGGGCCAUCGCUCAACGGAUAAAAGGUACUCCGGGGAUAACAGGCUGAUACCGCCCAAGAGUUCAUAUCGACGGCGGUGUUUGGCACCUCGAUGUCGGCUCAUCACAUCCUGGGGCUGAAGUAGGUCCCAAGGGUAUGGCUGUUCGCCAUUUAAAGUGGUACGCGAGCUGGGUUUAGAACGUCGUGAGACAGUUCGGUCCCUAUCUGCCGUGGGCGCUGGAGAACUGAGGGGGGCUGCUCCUAGUACGAGAGGACCGGAGUGGACGCAUCACUGGUGUUCGGGUUGUCAUGCCAAUGGCACUGCCCGGUAGCUAAAUGCGGAAGAGAUAAGUGCUGAAAGCAUCUAAGCACGAAACUUGCCCCGAGAUGAGUUCUCCCUGACCCUUUAAGGGUCCUGAAGGAACGUUGAAGACGACGACGUUGAUAGGCCGGGUGUGUAAGCGCAGCGAUGCGUUGAGCUAACCGGUACUAAUGAACCGUGAGGCUUAACCUUACAAC